AUUGAACGCUGGCGGCAGGCCUAACACAUGCAAGUCGAGCGGAGCGGCGGACGGGAGAGUAAUGCCUAGGAAUCUGCCUGGUAGUGGGGGAUACCGUCCGGAAACGGGCGCUAAUACCGCAUACUAUCAGAUGAGCCUAGGUCGGAUUAGCUAGUGGGUGGGGUAAAGGCCUACCAAGGCGACGAUCCGUAACUGGUCUGAGAGGUUGAUCAGUCACACUUGAACGGAGACACGGUCCAGAUUCCAACGGGAGGCAGCAGUGGGGAAUAUUGGAGAAUGGGCGAAAGCCUGAUCGAGCCAGGCCGCGUGUGUGAAGAAGGUCUUCGGAGUGUAGAGCGCUUUAAGUUGGGAGGCGUUACCAACAGAAUAAGCACCGGCUAACUUCGUGCCAGCAGCCGCGGUAAUAC
rnacentral:rRNA from 1 species